rnacentral:rRNA from 1 species
GAUGAACGCUGGCGGCGUGCCUAAUACAUGCAAGUCGAGCGAACAGACGAGGAGCUUGCUCCUUUGACGUUAGCGGCGGACGGGUGAGUAACACGUGGGUAACCUACCUAUAAGACUGGGAUAACUUCGGGAAACCGGAGCUAAUACCGGAUAAUAUUUCGAACCGCAUGGUUCGAUAGUGAAAGAUGGCUUUGCUAUCACUUAUAGAUGGACCUGCGCCGUAUUAGCUAGUUGGUAAGUUAACGGCUUACCAAGGCAACGAUACGUAGCCGACCUGAGAGGGUGAUAGGCCACACUGGAACUGAGACACGGUCCAGACUCCUACGGGAGGCAGCAGUAGGGAAUCUUCCGCAAUGGGCGAAAGCCUGACGGAGCAACGCCGCGUGAGUGAUGAAGGUCUUCGGAUCGUAAAACUCUGUUAUUAGGGAAGAACAAACGUGUAAGUAACUGUGCACGUCUUGACGGUACCUAAUCAGAAAGCCACGGCUAACUACGUG